UACGUAGGGUCCGAGCGUUGUCCGGAGUGACUGGGCGUAAAGCGCGCGCAGGCGGCCUGUUAGGCGCGACGUGAAAGCCCCGGGCUCAACCCGGGAGGGUCGUCGCGAACCGGCGGCUUGAGGCCGGGUAGAGGUGGGUGGAACUCCUGGUGGAGUGGUGAAAUGCGUAGAUAUGCGGAGGAACACCGAUGGCGAAGGCCAAUCCCCUGGGCCUGCACUGACGCUCAUGCACGAAAGCGUGGGGAGCAAACAGG
rnacentral:rRNA from 1 species